ACAGACACAAACACACACACAGUCAGACACAUACACAGACACAAACACAGUCAGACACAAACACACACACAGUCAGACACACACACAGUCAGACACACACACAAACACAUACACACACAGUCAGACACAUACACAAACACAGUCAGACACAAACACACACACACUCACAAACACAGUCAGACACAAACACACACAUACACAGUCAGAGACACACACACACACAGUCAGAGACACACACACUCACAAACACAGUCAGACACAAACACAGUCAGACACAAACACAAACACACACAGUCACAAACACACACAGUCAGACACAUACACAAACACAGUCAGACACAAACACACACACACACACUCAGACACAUACACAAACACAAACACAGUCAGACACAAACACACACACACUCAGACACAAACACAGUCAGACACAAACACACACACACUCACAAACACACACACACUCACAAACACA